rnacentral:rRNA from 1 species
AAUAUUGGACAAUGGGCGAAAGCCUGAUCCAGCCACGCCGCGUGUGUGAACAAUUUCCUCGGAUUNUAUAUCACUUUAAGUUGGGANGAAGGGCUGUAGGUUAAUACCCUGCACUUUUGACGUUACCACCACACUCAGCACUGGCUAACUUCGUGCCAGCAGCCGCGGUAAUACGAAGGGUGCAAGCGUUAAUCGGUAUUACUGGGCGUAAAGCGCGCGUAGGUGGUUCGUUAAGUUGGAAGUGAAAGCCCCGGGCUUAACCUGGGAAUUGCUUUAAAAACUGCUGAGCUAGAGUACGGUAGAGGGUAGUGGAAUUUCCUGUGUAGCGGUGAAAUGCGUAGAUAUAGGAAGGAACAUCAGUGGCGAAGGCGACUACCUGGACUGAUACUGACACUGAGGUGCGAAAGCGUGGGGAGCAAACAGG